rnacentral:rRNA from 1 species
AGUUUGAUCAUGGCUCAGAAUGAACGUUGGCGGCACGCCUAACACAUGCAAGUCGAGCGAAGAACUAGUUUACUAGUUACUGAGCGGCGAACGGGUGAGUAAUACUUGGAUAAUCUGCCACUAGGAUUGGGAUAACCUCAGGAAACUGAGACUAAUACCAAAUAUGACCACAGUCUUUACGGAGACAGGGGUAAAAUGUUUUUCGCCUAGUGAUGAGUCCAAGUCGCAUCAGGUUGUUGGUAAGGUAAUGGCUUACCAAGCCUAUGACGCGUAGCAGGUCUUAGCGGAUGAUCUGCCACAUGGGGACUGAGAUACGGCCCUGACUCCUACGGGAGGCAGCAGUGAGGAAUAUUGGACAAUGGACGAAAGUCUGAUCCAGCGAUGCCGCGUGAAGGAUGAAGGCCUUAGGGUUGUAAACUUCUGUCAGCAGGGAAGAUAAUGACGGUACCUGCAGAGGAAGCCCCGGCUAACUCCGUGCCAGCAGCCGCGGUAAUACGGAGGGGGCAAACGUUAUUCGGAUUUACUGGGCGUAAAGGGUUCGUAGGCGGUUUUUUAAGUUAGAUGUGAAAGCUUGAAGCUUAACUUCAAAAUAGCAUCUAAAACUGAAUUACUAGAUUCUUGGAGAGGUAGAUGGAAUUACCCGGUGUAGCGGUGAAAUGCGUAAAUUUCGGUAGGAACNCCAGUGGCGAAAGCGAUCUACUGGACNAG